rnacentral:rRNA from 1 species
AUUGAACGCUGGCGGCAGGCCUAACACAUGCAAGUCGAGCGGAUGAAGGGAGCUUGCUCGUGGAUUCAGCGGCGGGCGGGGGAGUAAUGCCUAUGAGUCUGCCUGGUAGUGGGGGAUAACGUCCGGAAACGGGCGCGAAUACUGCAUACUUCGUGAGGGAGAAAGUGGGGGGGCUUCGGACCUCAUGCUAUGAUGUGAGUGUAGGCCGGAUUAGCUAGUUGGUGGGGUAAGGGCCUUCCAAGGCGACGAUCCGUAACUGGUCUGAGAGGAUGAUCAGUCACCCUGGAACUGAGACACGCUCCAGACUACUGCGGGACGCAGCAGUCUGGAAUAUUGGACAAAGGGCGAAAGUAUGAUACAGUCAUGCGGAGCCUGUGACGACGGCCCUCCGAGUGGAAAGCCCUUUAACGUGGGAGGAAGCGCAGUCAGUUGAUACGUUGCUGUUUUGACGUUACCAACAGAAUAAGCACCGGCUAACUUCGUG